UUUCAACUGUUACCUACACUGAAAAAAAUAUUUGUAAAAUUACAUGAUUAUGCUGGGUUUUUUCCGACCCAGCAUAAUCAUGCAAUAUUACUACCCACAUGGAAAAUUGCAGACUUUUUUCUGUAAUUUUGCAUGAAAAUUCAAGUGAUUUUUACACAAAAAUAGUAAUUUCACCUAUAUUUUACCAUUAAUAUGUAUUUUCACUUCAAGAAAUCUGGAAAAAAAAUUACAGUUAUAAUUAGGUAAUUUUCCGGAUUUGAACAAGUAAUUUUCAUGUAAAAGUACAUGAAUUUUUUUCAGUGUACCCCAUAAUAUGAGACUUUCCUCUACUAAUAUAUUUUAUUAAUACUGUUUAUUUUACGUAAAAUCUAUCGAAAGAGAGUGUGUUGUUUUAAUCUUUAUUAUCUACAUGAGAUUACUGUCGUCUGGCCCUUUCUCUUUCCGUUCCAAUGUCAUCUCUGUUGC